CUCCCGCCGGCGACCGGCGCACGGGUGAGUAACACGUAUGAAACCUGCCCGUAGCAGGGGGAUAAGCGGAAGAAAUUCCGUCUAAUACCGCGUAACAACCCGAGGAGGCAUCUCCCCGGGUUUAAAGGAAGCGAUUCCGGCUACGGAUGGUCAUGCGUCGCAUUAGCUAGUUGGCGGGGUAACGGCCCACCAAGGCGACGAUGCGUAGGGGUUCUGAGAGGAAGGUCCCCCACACUGGUACUGAGACACGGACCAGACUCCUACGGGAGGCAGCAG
rnacentral:rRNA from 1 species